GACGAACGCUGGCGGCGUGCUUAACACAUGCAAGUCGAGCGGUAAGGCCCUUUCGGGGGUACACGAGCGGCGAACGGGUGAGUAACACGUGGGUGACCUGCCCUCAGCUCUGGGAUAAGCCUGGGAAACCGGGUCUAAUACCGGAUAUGACUCCAUGACGCAUGUUGUGGGGUGGAAAGCCUUGUGCGGCUGAGGAUGGGCCCGCGGCCUAUCAGCUUGUUGGUGGGGUGANGGCCUACCGAAGGCGACGACGGGUAGCCGGCCUGAGAGGGCGACCGGCCACACUGGGACUGAGACACGGCCCAGACUCCUACGGGAGGCAGCAGUGGGGAAUCUUGCGCAAGUGGGGACGUAAAGCCCUGACGCAGCGACGCCGCGUGAGGGAUGACGGCCUGG
rnacentral:rRNA from 1 species